AACAUAAAAGUGGAGGCUAUUGUAACUGAAGAGAACUGGAAAGUUCCACCGUAGAAGGUAAUAGUCCUGUAAGUGAAACGAGAAGACCACGAGUUAUGAUCCAGAGUACCACGAGACACGUGAAACCUUGUGGGAAGCAGGGAGGACCACCUCCCAAGGCUAAAUACUACCUGAUGACCGAUAGUGAAGCAGUACCGUGAGGGAAAGGUGAAAAGAACCCCGGGAGGGGAGUGAAAUAGAACCUGAAACCGUGUGCCUACAACCGCUCAGAGCCCCUUAUGAGGGUGAUGAGGUGCUUUUUGUAGAACGAGCCAACGAGUUACGGUAUGUAGCAAGGUUAAGUACUUAAGGUACGGAGCCGAAGGGAAACCGAGUCUGAAUAGGGCGACUAGUUGCAUGCCGUAGACCCGAAACCGGGUGACCUAUCCAUGGCCAGGUUGAAGCGAGGGUAAAACCUCGUGGAGGACCGAACCACGUUGCUGUUGAAAAAGCAUGGGAUGAGCUGUGGAUAGCGGAGAAAUUCCAAUCGAACCCGGAGAUAGCUGGUUCUCUCCGAAAUAGCUUUAGGGCUAGCGUCGAGUAUGAGUAGUGGAGGUAGAGCACUGAAUGGGCUAGGGGGCAUAGCGCUUACCGAACCUUAUCAAACUCCGAAUGCCACAUACUUUGAGCUCGGCAGUCAGACUACGAAUGAUAAGAUCCGUGGUCAAAAGGGAAACAGCCCAGAUCGUCAGCUAAGGUCCCAAAGUGUAAGUUAAGUGGGAAAGGAUGUGAGAUUUCUAAGACAACUAGGAUGUUGGCUUAGAAGCAGCCAUUCAUUAAAAGAGUGCGUAAUAGCUCACUAGUCGAGAGAUCUUGCGCCGAAAAUGUAACGGGGCUAAACUUACCACCGAAGCUACGGGCUUGAACUUAGUUCAAGCGGUAGGAGAGCGUCGUAACCGGGCUGAAGUCGUACCGUAAGGAGCGGUGGACUGGUUACGAGUGAGAAUGUUGGCAUCAGUAGCGAGAUGUGGGUGAGAAUCCCACAGGCCGAAAACCUAAGGUUUCCUCAGGAAGGUUCGUCCGCUGAGGGUUAGUCGGGACCUAAGCCGAGGCCGAAAGGCGUAGGUGAUGGACAACUGGUUGAUAUUCCAGUACCACUACCAUCGUUAUUAUCGAUGGCGUGACGCAGGAGGAUAG
rnacentral:rRNA from 1 species